rnacentral:rRNA from 1 species
GGGAUAACAUUUGGAAACAGAUGCUAAUACCGCAUAGAUCCAAGAACCGCAUGGUUCUUGGCUGAAAGAUGGCGUAAGCUAUCGCUUUUGGAUGGACCCGCGGCGUGUUAGCUAGUUGGUGAGGUAAUGGCUCGCCAAGGCGAUGAUACGUAGCCGAACUGAGAGGUUGAUCGGCCACAUUGGGACUGAGACACGGCCCAAACUACUACGGGAGGCAGCAGUAGGGAAUCUUCCACAAUGGACGCAAGUCUGAUGGAGCAACGCCGCGUGAGUGAAGAAGGCUUUCGGGUCGUAAAACUCUGUUGUUGGAGAAGAAUGGUCGGCAGAGUAACUGUUGUCGGCGUGACGGUAUCCAACCAGAAAGCCACGGCUAACUACGUGCCAGCAGCCGCGGUAAUACGUAGGUGGCAAGCGUUAUCCGGAUUUAUUGGGCGUAAAGCGAGCGCAGGCGGUUUUUUAAGUCUGAUGUGAAAGCCCUCGGCUUAACCGAGGAAGCGCAUCGGAAACUGGGAAACUUGAGUGCAGAAGAGGACAGUGGAACUCCAUGUGUAGCGGUGAAAUGCGUAGAUAUAUGGAAGAACACCAGUGGCGAAGGCGGCUGUCUGGUCUGUAACUGACGCUGAGGCUCGAAAGCAUGGGUAGCGAAAAGGAUUAGAUACCCUGGUAG